rnacentral:tRNA from 1 species
UCCCUCCUGGCUCAGCUGGUAGGGCAUCCACCUGCAAUGCGGGAGACCUGGGUUUGAUCCUGGGUUGGGAA